rnacentral:lncRNA from 1 species
UCUGAGGGACACAUCAGUCAAAAAUCAGGAGCCAUGAAAAAAAAAAUUAAAGAAAAGAAAAGCCUGAAAUAAUGCCUAAGUCCUAUCAGGAAUAUUAAAGUAAAUUUCUAAUCAGUCCCCGGCAACGGCGCCAAAAAGUUGAUCACUAAUUUCUUAGCAACAAAUACCGCAACUAACACGGUGCAAUUGUAGCAAAUAAUCAGUA